AGCGAACGCUGGCGGUAGGCCUAACACAUGCAAGUCGAACGGCAGCACCGUAAGAGCCUGCUCUUACGGGAGGCGAGCGGCGGAAGGGUGAGGUCUACACCGGAAUCUACUUUUUCGUGGGGGAUAAUGUAGGGAAACUUACGCUAAUACCGCAUACGACCUACGGGUGAAAGCAGGGGAUCUUCGGACCUUGCGCGAUUGUAUGAGCCGAUGUCGGAUUAGCUCGUUGGCGGGGUAAAGGCCCACCAAGGCGACGAUCCGUAGCUGGUCUGAGAGGAUGAUCAGCCGCACUGGAGCUGAGACGCGGUGCAGACUCGUACGGGAGGCAGCAGUGGGGAAUAUUGGACAAUGGGCGCAAGCCUGAUCCAGCCAUACCGCGUGGGUGAAGAAGGCCUUCGGGUUGUAAGCCCUUUUGUUGGGAAAGAAAAGCAGCAGGUUAAUACCCCGCUGUUCUGACGGUACCCAAAGAAUAAGCACCGGCUAACUUCGUG
rnacentral:rRNA from 1 species